CCUACGGGAGUGAGCAGUGAGGAAUAUUGGUCAAUGGACGAGAGUCUGAACCAGCCAAGUAGCGUGAAGGAUGACUGCCCUAUGGGUUGUAAACUUCUUUUAUAUGGGAAUAAAAUGUUCCACGUGUGGGAUUUUGUAUGUACCAUAUGAAUAAGGAUCGGCUAACUCCGUGCCAGCAGCCGCGGUAAUACGGAGGAUCCGAGCGUUAUCCGGAUUUAUUGGGUUUAAAGGGAGCGUAGGUGGAUUGUUAAGUCAGUUGUGAAAGUUUGCGGCUCAACCGUAAAAUUGCAGUUGAAACUGGCAGUCUUGAGUACAGUAGAGGUGGGCGGAAUUCGUGGUGUAGCGGUGAAAUGCUUAGAUAUCACGAAGAACUCCGAUUGCGAAGGCAGUUCACUGGACUGCAACUGACACUGAGGCUCGAAAGUGUGGGUAUCAAACAGGAUUAGAUACCCUUGUAGUC
rnacentral:rRNA from 1 species